CUGAUUUAGCAAACCGAGCAUUAGCGAGGUUCUGCGAUCACUUAUAUUUAAAACCCACGCUUUAAAUUUUGUAUAAAUAUUUUUAAAUGAUAAAAAUUAAGA
rnacentral:misc_RNA from 1 species